AACAGUUGAGGGGAACGCUGUCUGGUUCGAGACCACUCGCUUCAAGUACAGACAUAAUCUGAAUGAUCUCGGACCAGGCUUCAUUCCCCCCAACUCAACA
rnacentral:pre_miRNA from 1 species